rnacentral:rRNA from 1 species
AUUGAACGCUGGCGGCAGGCCUAACACAUGCAAGUCGAACGAGUGGCGGAGGGGGCAGUAAUGUCUGGGAAACUGCCUGAGGGGGGGGGAUACUUCCGGGAAACGUUGCCUAAUACGCCUAACCUCAAGAUGUGCCCGGAUGGGUUUAGCUAGUUGGUGGGGUAACGGCUCACAAAGGCGAGGAUCCCUAGCUGGGCUGAGAGGAUGACCAGCCACACUGGAACUGAGACACGGUCCAGACUCCUACGGGAGGCAGCAGUGGGGAAUAUUGCACAAUGGGCGCAAGCCUGAUGCAGCCAUGCCGCGUGUAUGAAGAAGGCCUUCGGGUUGUAAAGUACCUUCAGCGGGGAGGCGUUACCCGCAGAAGAAGCACCGGCUAACUCCGUGCCAGCAGCCGCGGUAAUUC